CCUACGGGGGGCAGCAGUGAGGAAUAUUGGUCAAUGGCCGCAGGGCUGAACCAGCCAAGUCGCGUGAGGGAUGACGGUCCUAUGGAUUGUAAACCUCUUUUGUCAGGGAGCAAAGGGCGCCACGUGUGGCGUUUUGCGAGUACCUGAAGAAAAAGCAUCGGCUAACUCCGUGCCAGCAGCCGCGGUAAUACGGAGGAAGAGAGCGUUAUCCGGAUUUAGUGGGGUUCAAGGGUGCGCAGGCGGAAUGUCAAGUCAGAGGGAAAAUUUCGGGGCUCAACCCCGUCGUGCCGUUGAAACUGGCGUGCUUGAGUGAGCGAGAAGUAUGCGGAAUGCGUGGUGUAGCGGUGAAAUGCAUAGAUAUCACGCAGAACUCCGAUUGCGAAGGCAGCAUACCGGCGCUCAACUGACGCUCAUGCACGAAAGCGUGGGUAUCGAACAGGAUUAGAUACCCGAGUAGUC
rnacentral:rRNA from 1 species